rnacentral:rRNA from 1 species
AUUGAACGCUGGCGGAAUGCUUUACACAUGCAAGUCGAACGGCAGCAUAGAGAGCUUGCUCUCUGAUGGCGAGUGGCGAACGGGUGAGUAAUAUAUAGUUAACCUGCCCUCGAGAAAGGAAUAACAGUUGGAAACGACUGCUAAUGCCCUAUAUGCCUUUAUGACAUAAGUCAGCAAGGGAAAUGCUUUAGUGCUCGAGGAUGGGACUGUAUGGUAUCAGAUAGUUGGUGGGGUAAUGGCCUACCAAGUCAAUGACGCCUAACUGGUUUGAGAGGAUGAUCAGUCACACUGGAACUGAGACACGGUCCAG